GGUGGGGAUCUGUAUUCUACACUCAUGAGGGAUACUUCCAACAAGCAGUAUUAGAGCAUGGGAUUAUUCAGAUUGUGGCGAUGUUGAUUGAGGUUGAAAAAGAUGGAGAAGAUAGGUUCAAUCAAGAUAAAGAUCAACUGAUAUGAUGGGAAGAAUAAUUUCUCCCUAUGACAAAUGAGGGUGAAGGAUGUGCUCAUCCAACAAGGGAUGAUUGAUGCUCUCUUGUACAAGAAGAAGCCAACUAUCAUAGAGGAGAAGGAUUGGAGUGGCUCUAGAUGCAGAUGGUGAGGAUAAUCUGCUUGUACUUGAUAGAUGAUAUGUUGAUUCAUAUGCUUAGC
rnacentral:lncRNA from 1 species